rnacentral:rRNA from 1 species
CCUACGGGCGGCUGCAGUGAGGAAUAUUGGUCAAUGGACGAGAGUCUGAACCAGCCAAGUAGCGUGAAGGAUGACUGCCCUAUGGGUUGUAAACUUCUUUUAUAUGGGAAUAAAAUGUUCCACGUGUGGGAUUUUGUAUGUACCAUAUGAAUAAGGAUCGGCUAACUCCGUGCCAGCAGCCGCGGUAAUACGGAGGAUCCGAGCGUUAUCCGGAUUUAUUGGGUUUAAAGGGAGCGUAGGUGGAUUGUUAAGUCAGUUGUGAAAGUUUGCGGCCCAACCGUAAAAUUGCAGUUGAAACUGGCAGUCUUGAGUACAGUAGAGGUGGGCGGAAUUCGUGGUGUAGCGGUGAAAUGCUUAGAUAUCACGAAGAACUCCGAUUGCGAAGGCAGCUCACUGGACUGCAACUGACGCUGAGGAGCGAAAGCGUGGGUAGCAAACAGGAUUAGAUACCCCGGUAGUC